GACGAACGCUGGCGGCGUGCUUAACACAUGCGAGUCGAACGGAAAGGCCCCAGCUUGCUGGGGUACUCGAGUGGCGAACGGGUGAGUAACACGUGGGUGAUCUGCCCUGCACUCUGGGAUAAGCCUGGGAAACUGGGUCUAAUACCGGAUAGGACCGUGCUUUAGUGUGUGCGGUGGAAAGUUUUUCGGUGCAGGAUGAGCCCGCGGCCUAUCAGCUUGUUGGUGGGGUAAUGGCCUACCAAGGCGGCGACGGGUAGCCGGCCUGAGAGGGUGUACGGCCACAUUGGGACUGAGACACGGCCCAGACUCCUACGGGAGGCAGCAGUGGGGAAUAUUGCACAAUGGGCGCAAGCCUGAUGCAGCGACGCCGCGUGGGGGAUGACGGCCUUCGGGUUGUAAACCCCUUUCGGCAGGGACGAAGCUUUUGUGACGGUACCUGCAUAAGAAGCACCGGCUAACUACGUG
rnacentral:rRNA from 1 species